AUUUAAAUAGUUUAAGAUAAAAUAUUGAUUUGUGGUGUCAAAGUUAUAUAGAAUAUAUUUUAAAUA
rnacentral:tRNA from 1 species